AUAGUAUACCUCCACGGUAGUUCCGUGUCAUGGAGCCUAUCGUGGGGACCAACCUCCGUUGCACGGAGGACAAUUUUUUUUUUUUUUGAUUUCUAAUUAAUAGUCUGGUUUUGACCCGACCCAAACCAUAAUAACCCAAAUUUUCCCUUUUAAUUUCCCAAUCCCCCUCACUCUUUCCCCAAAUUUCAACCUAACGUGUUAGUUACCCCUUCAAAUUCUCUCAAAAAUUCCCCAAGCCCUAGCGUGUCACGCCAAAGUCACUUUCUUCUCUUCUCCACCAUCUUAAAUCAGUUAUUGUAGGGCUUGAUUGUGAUGAAAAUUAACAUGUUUUGAUGUAUUAUCAAGAAGCCUUUGGAUGAUGAGAGCAAUUGGAGUAAUAUGUGGAGUAUAAAGAAGUUGGAACAAGGUUUGGAAAGCAUGGCACAAAGCCCAAGAUCAAGAUAGUAUAUACGGUACUGGAAAGGAGGAAAAUGACAAUCCUCCAUUCUACGGAGCCUAGACUCUGCGUGAACCUCCUUGGCACACUAAUGAAUUAAAGGCCAAUGACAAUUUCCAGUGAAGGUUCGCGAUAGCCCUAUUCCACGGACCUUAGUAUCCGCGAUAGCCUCCGUGGCACAGAGGUUGAUUUAUUUCAGAAGGUGCAAUCUAGUGAACGCCUGUGAUAGCCUCGUGCAACCGACCUUAGUGUCCGCGCUGAACUCCCUGGCAUGGAGCUGAGUAAUUUUUGUCAUAUUUAGAAUAAGUGUAAAAGGGACACUUAAUCACAAUUGUAAACAUCUUGGCAUACAAAUAGCAAAGGCAAAAAUAAUUACGGGUGUUUUAUUAAGGUUCUUCCAUUUUUCAUCUUUGAACAUUGAAUUUGGUAAGAUUAAUUAUAUUUCUUUGAUGUUGAUUUCGAGUAUGAGUGGGUAAAAACCUUUGUUCUAGGGUGGAGUCCAAGAACAUGAUUAUAUUUUGAUAUUCUUAGAGUGGUUAACAUUGAUUUAUCGCAUGGGUUA